rnacentral:rRNA from 1 species
CUAGAUGAUUUUAGUGCUUGCACUAAAUGAMACUAGAUACAAGCGAGCGGCGGACGGGUGAGUAACACGUGGGUAACCUGCCCAAGAGACUGGGAUAACACCUGGAAACAGAUGCUAAUACCGGAUAACAACACUAGACGCAUGUCUAGAGUUUGAAAGAUGGUUCUGCUAUCACUCUUGGAUGGACCUGCGGUGCAUUAGCUAGUUGGUAAGGUAACGGCUUACCAAGGCAAUGAUGCAUAGCCGAGUUGAGAGACUGAUCGGCCACAUUGGGACUGAGACACGGCCCAAACUCCUACGGGAGGCAGCAGUAGGGAAUCUUCCACAAUGGACGAAAGUCUGAUGGAGCAACGCCGCGUGAGUGAAGAAGGGUUUCGGCUCGUAAAGCUCUGUUGGUAGUGAAGAAAGAUAGAGGUAGUAACUGGCCUUUAUUUGACGGUAAUUACUUAGAAAGUCACGGCUAACUACGUGCCAGCAGCCGCGGUAAUACGUAGGUGGCAAGCGUUGUCCGGAUUUAUUGGGCGUAAAGCGAGUGCAGGCGGUUCAAUAAGUCUGAUGUGAAAGCCUUCGGCUCAACCGGAGAAUUGCAUCAGAAACUGUUGAACUUGAGUGCAGAAGAGGAGAG